rnacentral:tRNA from 1 species
CACUGGCCGAGUGGAUAACGCAAUGGCGUUUGGAGCGAACGGUACUGGGUUCGAGUCUCAGAGUGAA